rnacentral:rRNA from 1 species
UGGGGAAUUUUGCGCAAUGGACGAAAGUCUGACGCAGCAACGCCGCGUGGGUGAUGAAGGUCUUCGGACUGUAAAACCCUGUCGUCAGGGACGAAGGCUGAGGGGUUAAUAACCUUUUAGCUUGACGGUACCUGGAGAGGAAGCCCCGGCUAACUCUGUGCCAGCAGCCGCGGUAAUACAGAGGGGGCAAGCGUUAUUCGGAAUUAUUGGGCGUAAAGGGCGCGUAGGCGGUUUUUUAAGUCAGAUGUGUAAUCCCCGAGCUUAACUUGGGAACUGCAUCUGAGACUGGAAGGCUAGAGUACUGGAGAGGGUGGUGGAAUUCCUCGUGUAGCGGUGAAAUGCGUAGAGAUGAGGAGGAACACCAGUGGCGAAGGCGGCCACCUGGACAGUAACUGACGCUGAGGCGCGAAAGUGUGGGUAGCAAACAGG